rnacentral:rRNA from 1 species
AAUCAACGCUGGCGGCGUGCCUAACACAUGCAAGUCGAACGCGAAAGUGGAGCAAUCCAUGAGUAGAGUGGCAAACGGGUGAGUAACGCGCGGGUGACCUGCCUUCGAGCGGGGGAUAACGUUUCGAAAGGAACGCUAAUACCGCAUGACAUCCUGCCUUUGAAGAGGUGGAGAUCAAAGCUGGGGAUCGCAAGACCUAGCACUUGAAGAGGGGCCCGCGUCUGAUUAGCUAGUUGGUGAGGUAACGGCUCACCAAGGCGACGAUCAGUAUCCGGCCUGAGAGGGCGGACGGACACACUGGGACUGAGACACGGCCCAGACUCCUACGGGAGGCAGCAGUGGGGAAUUGUUCGCAAUGGGCGCAAGCCUGACGACGCAACGCCGCGUGGAGGAUGAAGACCUUCGGGUCGUAAACUCCUUUCGAUCGAGACGAAAGACUUCCGGGUGAACAAUCCGGGAGAGUGACGGUACCGAGAGAAGAAGCCCCGGCUAACUCCGUGCCAGCAGCCGCGGUAAUACGGGGGGGGCAAGCGUUGUUCGGAAUUACUGGGCGUAAAGGGCUCGUAGGCGGCCAACUAAGUCGGACGUGAAAUCCCUCGGCUUAACCGGGGAACUGCGUCCGAUACUGGAUGGCUUAAGGUUGGGAGAGGGAUGCGGAAUUCCAGGUGUAGCGGUGAAAUGCGUAGAUAUCUGGAGGAACACCGGUGGCGAAGGCGGCAUCCUGGACCAAUUCUGACGCUGAGUGAGCGAAAGCCAGGGGAGCAAACGGGAUUAGAUACCCCGGUAGUCCUGGCCCUAAACGAUGAAUGCUUGGUGGUGGCCGGGUAUCGAUCCCUGCCGUGCCGAAGCUAACGCAUUAAGCAUCCGCCCUGGGGGAGUACGGUCGCAAGGCUG